GCGUCGGUAGUUCAGUGACAGAGUUCUCGCUUGCGGCGCGGGUUCGAUUCCCGGCCGACGCA
rnacentral:tRNA from 1 species